ensembl:lncRNA
CAGAGACUGUGUUUUUAGAUGAAGGAGAACAGACUUCAAACUGCUGAACAUUACAUCUCUAAACAGUGUUGAGUUGGGUCUCCAUGGUGAUGGAUGGGUUCUUCUCAGAGACGUCAGGUUCAGGGUUAUGAUUAGAGCCUCUAGCCCAGAGGCGCUCACUUAUCAUCAGGCAGUGAGGUGACAAAGAAGGGCUGAGUAGCUCCAGGGGUCAGUAGUGAGGGUCAGGGUCGCCAGGGGUGAGGGUCAGGGUCGCCAGGGGUGAGGGUCAGGGUCGCCAGGGUUGAGGGUCAGGAGUCAGAGUCGCCAGGGUUGAGGGUCAGGAGUCAGAGUCGCCAGGGUUGAGGGUCAGGGUCUCCAGGGGAGGGGGUCAGGGUCUCCAGGGGUGAGGGUCAGGGUCUCCAGGGGUGAGGGUCAGGGACACCAGGGGUGAGGGUCAGGGUCACCAGGGGUGAGGGUCAGGGUCACCAGGGGUGAGGGUCAGGGUCACCAGGGGUGAGGGUCAGGGUCACCAGGGGUGAGGGUCAGGGUCACCAGGGGUGAGGGUCAGGGUCUCCAGGGGUGAGGGUCAGGGUCUCCAGGGGUGAGGGUCAGGGGUCAGGGUCUCCAGGGGUGAGGGUCAGGGGUCAGGGUCUCCAGGAGUGAGGGUCAUGGUCUCCAGGGGUCAGGGUCUCCAGGGGUCAGGGUCUCCAGGGGUGAGGGUCAGCGUUGCCAGGGGUGAGGGUCAGGGUCUCCAGGGGUGAGGGUCAGGCGUCAGGGUCACCAGGGGUGAGGGUCAGGGUCUCCAGGGGUGAGGUUCAGGGGUCAGGGUCUCUAGGGGUCAGGGGUUACUUACUUGUCGUCAGGCAGGGCUGUAACAUAAAAAGGCUGGGUAGCUCCAGGGGUCAGGGUCAGGGAGUUGGUUUUCUUCUUAGCCAAGAGGGCAGCGCGGUGAGACUCAUACACAUCCAGGGUCAGAGUAGUGGACAGACGGUGGGACACCACAAACGGAAGGUCCUUCAGACGCUCCAGCUCACUGGCCUGCUCAUGACGCACCUGCAGACGCAGCGUGUAGUCACCUUUCUCUAGUUUCAGAGAGUACUGAUGGAGAGAGAGGAGAGGAGAG